CGACUGGGGAAUGGUUCAUUUAUCAUGUAAGAGAGAGAGAGAGAGAGAGAGAGAGAGAGAGAGAGAGAGAGAGGUGUUUCCUGAUUGCCAGUGUUGGCAGAUAAUAGUGUACCACCUAGCCGCACUUUGGUCUCCUCUCCGGUUAGAGUGUUAGCGUUGUUUUUUUUUGUUAUUGCCUCUGUGUGUGUUCGGUGCGGAAUUGUGUUUUGAUCGUGAAGGCUUUGCCAUGCAGGCGCCUCACUGUUGCCAAUUGUCUUUUCUGUGUCAGUGUCUGAUUGUGCGUGUGUUUGCCUGUGUGAUUGAGCAUACAUGUGUUUGUGUGUGUUCAUGUGUGUGUGUAUGUGAUCACACGUGUGAGUAUGUGUGUGUGUCGUUUAUGUACUUGUUUGUUUGUCUGUGUGAUUGCAAGUGGGUGUGAUACUUCACGUCUGUUUGUGUGUGUUCAAUCACGUGUGUAUCUGAUCACACGUGUGUGUGUAUGUGUGUGUGUUUGAUCAUGUGUGUAUGUGAUCACACGAGUUUGUGUUUGUGUGUGUUUGUGUCUGUGUUUGAUCAUGUGUGUAUGUGAUCACACUUGUGUGUGUGUAUGUGUGUGUGUUUGAUCAUGUGUGUAUGUGAUCACACGUGUGUCUGUUGGUGUGUAAUUGUGUGUAAUUGUGUGUGUGCGUGUGACUAUGAAACACUAGCAUCACCAGCACAAACGCGCGCAUCUCCUGAGCCGUACACGAUAUAACGCUAAAGAGAUUGAUUGUGCUCUUAACCGAAAGACCAAUUAUAGGGUGAGCAAAUAUAAUCGCGGUGUAACAUUAUCGCUCAGAGGGAAAGAGGGAAAACAACAACAAACAAAGAAAAGGGAACAAGUUGAUGACUAAUCCAAUCUCUCAAGCGGAGGAAGUGUAUCUUAUUGUUAUUUUGCCGCCACCACAACAGCAAACUGUCGAGAGAGGGGGGAAAAAACCAGACCGUACUCGAUACGCGGGCCCGCCAGGCUGUGUGACUCCUUCCAUUACUUGCUGCCGGUUCUUUUUUUUCUCCUUCCCCCGCUAACCGCAGAGUCAGCAGCCGCGGCCGCUCACCGUGACGCAGCUAAACGGUCGCCGGCGGCGGUGACGAACACGACUGGUGGGCUGGCGCUGCGUUUCGCCGUAAAAAAAAAAGAAUAAAUGUUUGACUUCACACAGAUGUGAAAGUUGUUGGAACCUUGUCGAAGUUUGAGUCGACAAUGGGG
ensembl:lncRNA